AUCCAGCUAACGAGUCCAAAGUAGGACAAAACGUGCGUUCUGGAU
rfam:Schistosoma margrebowiei strain Zambia genome assembly, scaffold: SMRZ_contig0008743